rnacentral:misc_RNA from 1 species
ACGCAUAUUGCGCCUUAGUCUCGACGAGAGCAGGUCUACCUCAUCGUCAGUAUAACCCCUAACUCCAUCCCCUUUGGGGACGCGCUUUGCUUUGUCAAGGCCUCGGGGUGGAUCUGGCUUUCCCACUUCAUCACGGCCUUCGCUGAAUGCCGCCAGUGGAUUGGGUUGGCUGAAGCACAGAGGCUAGAGCAAGGACCCGCGAGGGUAUAAAACUGGAUAGGUAGAUAGGCCUUAGGCUUACUACACGUGUUGUUAGCUGUGGUCUCUGCUGGCGGCCAAUGCAGAAAAGCUGCGUUUUCGGACGUGGCUCCUUAUCGUUCGACCUGAGCUCAGGCAAGGCUACCCGCUGAACUUAA